AACGUAGGACGCAAGCGUUAUCCGGAGUUACUGGGCGUAAAGCGCGGGCAGGCGGUUCUGCCCGUCUGAUGUGAAAUCUCCUCGCUCAACGGGGAGCAGCCAUUGGAAACUACAGAACUGGAGUCUGACAGAGGUAGGCGGAAUUCCGGGUGGAGUGGUGAAAUGCGUAGAGAUCCGGAGGAACACCAGAGGCGAAGGCGGCCUACUGGGUCAGUACUGACGCUGAGCCGCGAAAGCCAGGGGAGCGAACGGG
rnacentral:rRNA from 1 species